UACGAAGGGUGCAAACGUUGCUCGGAAUUAUUGGGCGUAAAGCGCACGUAGGCGGCCUUGUAAGUCGGAUGUGAAAUCCCUCGGCUUAACCGAGGACGUGCAUCCGAAACGUGUGAGGCUCGAGUAUGGAAGAGGGUCGGCAGAAUUCCCGGUGUAGAGGUGAAAUUCGUAGAUAUCGGGAGGAAUACCAGUGGCGAAGGCGGCGACCUGGGCCAAUACUGACGCUGAGGCGCGAAAGCGUGGG
rnacentral:rRNA from 1 species